rnacentral:rRNA from 1 species
UACGGAGGGUGCAAGCGUUAUCCGGAUUCACUGGGUUUAAAGGGUGCGUAGGCGGGUUGGUAAGUCAGUGGUGAAAUCUUCAAGCUUAACUUGGAACUGCCGUUGAUACUAUCAAUCUUGAAUGUUGUGGAGGUAAGCUGGAAUAUGUCAUGUAGCGGUGAAAUGCUUAGAUAAUGACAUAGAACACCGAUAGCGAAGGCAGCUUGCUACACAAAAAUUGACCGACU